rnacentral:rRNA from 1 species
AAAGCGUGCGCAGGCGGUUAUGUAAGACAGAUGUGAAAUCCCCGGGCUCAACCUGGGAACUGCAUUAGUGACUGCAUAGCUGGAGUACGGCAGAGGGGUAUGGAAUUCCGCGUGUAGCAGUGAAAUGCGUAGAUAUGCGGAGGAACACCGAUGGCGAAGGCAAUCCCCUGGGCCUGUACUGACGCUCAUGCACGAAAGCGUGGGGAGCAAACAGGAUUAGAUACCCCGGU